GGGAGCACUGUAAUAAAAACUUGGAACCAUUUACUUCUUCUCUUCCUUCUCUGCCUCGGCAGCCUUCUUCAACCGAGCACCAACAUGGCGGGCAUUUGCUCGCUCAACACGAAGCUUGUCAUAAGCCUUGAAAGACUUCAUGUCUUCUGUGAUCUUCACAAGCUCCACUGAUGGCUUCUCUAAUCCAAUAGGCAGGUAAGCGCCCUGGACCUGGGUGGCAGUUGCUAGUUCCUCAGGAGUAGAAUCGCCAGCCUUGAACUUGCGGGCACGUCGUGGGAAGACAACCACCUUGGCCUU
rnacentral:misc_RNA from 1 species